rnacentral:lncRNA from 1 species
CUUUUAAGUAUUUUAUUAAAUAAAUAUAGACAUAUAACAUCAAUAAAAUAAAGCAGAGUUUAUAAGAUUAAAUUAUAUGCUUGCGGGGGCGGAGCUAGCCAGAGACAGAAGCAGACGCACAUGCUAAGAGUUCCUGCGAGAGCAUCGAUUUAUACAAGCAUGUAUCUGGUAAUUCAUAAAAAAGUGUCAGCGCUAUAUAUGAUAGCUUUGCAGUGGGCAAUCAAUUAGGAUGUGAAAAAUCACUAACUUAUCCCUGUGAUUCAGUGGUAUAUAUAUUAUCACCUCUAUGCAUCACAUCAAGUUAGAUUAUGCACAUAAAUAUAUUUGAAAACUUGCUUAAGAGUCCAAAAGUUCUGAAUGGGAGUCUUAGAGGGUUAAUCCUGUGCUGCAGCAAAAUUGUAAUAUCUGUAGAUACACUGUGGUUCAAUGUAGCUUGUACCGUAAAAAGAUACAAAAAAAACUUUUCAUAGUGUAAAACUGCAUUUAUUAGUAUAAAAGAAAAUUGCCUUCCCCCAAAUAGAAACCCUUACAUUGGCAAGUGGUGAGACUUGUUUCCAAGAUAUCACAAACACAUUAAGCAGAAUCAGAGACUGAGCAGCCGUUUACCAUCCACUGUUCUCUGUAGUACAAAACUCCAGCCCGAUCUCAGCGCUGAUGUGUUAGAGUAUAACGAGUACACUGGAGAUCUUUGUGUGUGGUCUAUGUGAGACAGGCUGUAGUCGUCAGACCUCUGUAUCCUGAAUGCCGAUAACACUUCAACGCGUUUUGCCCGUUCUACCGGGCGUUUUCAAAAUAGUGUAUUGGCUUAAGUAAGACUUCUUAAAUACACUUCCAUCUGAUCAGAUUAUAACGAACCGCUGAUGGUAUUGUACUAUAUGCAUAUUAAAUGCAAAAAAAAGUUUUCUGUUUCAGAGCCUAGUGUCUUCUGACAUAUAAUAUUAAAUUUCAACAACUGUACAUUAUCAAGCUUAACACACUUAAACAUUCAUAAAAUCACUGGUAAUAAAAUAAACCUGGAUAAAAAUUGGAACUGUAUUCAUUAUACAUAGACUUGAUAUCAAGCUCGUAUGUUAAAAGGUGAGAAAUGCAUUAAUAAAAUAAACAUAAAAAUACUGUGCAAGAAUCAUGUUACUCAAUCCAUAUACAUAAAGUAAAGUAAAAUCAAGAUAAACUUUGUUCAAAAACAUCUUUGAAGAUACAUAUAUUGCUAUAGAUAAAAAGCAGCUACUUAAUCCUUUCACUUCUGUUUUAAACAACUGCCGAUAUCCCCAAUAGUGAUAUUUUCCAGUCUAUAGCUGAUUGACUGUUUCACAGUGCAGAAUGCCGACAUUAUGAUAUACUGCCAAAAUACAUGCCUGCCGGAUACCUCUUAGGUGUCUGCUGUAUAAAUAUAGCCUCUAUCAGUCAUGAUAAAAUGGAGCAGAAUUUCUGUCUCCAAAAUCUCUCCUCUGUGUCCUAAUAUUAAUAAGUACACAUAUUUAUACCUUAGAUGUUCAAUUAGGUCAUUUUACAACCUACCUUAACUUGAGAAACAUACAGGGCCAUAACUUGGUCAUUUCAUAUAGGAACAUCUUAUCUAUGUUCAGACUAAAACGUAAGGGUGCACACGACAUGGGAAAUUCCCUGACUUGGGGAAUUACACUAACCUAGGACAAAAUGGCGUCCUAAAGUCUGAACACCAUAUUCACUGAAUAUGGGUAAGAGGUAAUUUAUUAAAGAAACAUUGUAUGGCCGGACGGAUUCUAUGCUAGCACACUCAGACUUCAAAUGAGCUUUUUCAGCCUGAAACUACUUACCAAGCAGCUUCACACAAUCUGGGUGCCGACUAGCACUGAGUGGGAACGCGAGGAUAACCGAGCUGAACUGCAUCAUCAGGAUCUCGAGCUGCCUGGUUUCCCGGAGGAGGCGGCCACUCCCCUGGCGCGGGUCCAGCUCUUAAUGGAAUCCACCUUGCAGAACCGCAACCCCCUCCUCCCGGUUCCCACUGGGGAUGCUUACUAAUCCUCAACAGAGAGAUCCCCCGAUGGGCAGUCGACCACAUGGUGCGCCCAAGAUGCACCACAGGCUUUGCAACCACAGGAGCGCUAUUAUGCUUUGUGGGGGGGCAGGGUAUGAGGGUGACAGGGUCACAGUGGGGGGCAGUGUGUGAUUGUGACACUAGGUGGGCAGGGUGUCAGGGUGGGGCAGGGUGUGAGGAUGACAGUGUCAGGGUAACAGUGAGGGGGGCAGGGUGACAGUGACAGGUGACAGUGUGUGGUAGGGUGUGAGGGUGACAGUUGGGGGGCAGGGUGUGAGGGUGACACUGGGGGGGCAGUGUGUGAGAGGGACAGUGGAGAGGUGACAGUGGAGGGGCAGGGUAUGAGGGUGACAGUGACAGGAUGACAGUGGAGGUGGAGGUGCAGGGUGUGAGGGUGACAGUGGGGGGAAGGGUAUGAGGGUAACAGUGGGGGUGACAGGCUGUGAUGUGGGGGAAGGCUGUGAUCAGCCUCCCACAUUCCCAUACCUUUUUUUCAGUGCUCCCCAUUCCCUGGUGGUCCAGUGGCUGGCUCUACAGGUCUUCAUCUCUGCAGACCAAACUCUUGCAAGCUCCAAAUAGAGCGUUGCUGUGGUAACUCGUGCCAAAGUACUGGGAGCUUGCGAUCUUUCCAUCACAUGGUCUAAAGCUCUGCACACAGCAGAGCUGCAGACCGGAGGCUCCCCCUGGGCAGACUGAUGGACAGGCCCAGCGGCACACAUGGCAAGCCGAAAACCCCUUCCUGGUGUUGGGUCCUCGGACAAUGACCAAAUACCCAACUGAUUAGUCCACGGCAGAGCUGCAGACCGGAGGCUGCCCCUGGGCAGUCUGAUGGACGGGUCCAGCAGCACACAUGGCAAGCCGACAAGCCCCUUCCUGGUGUCAGGUUCUCGGAGACUGACCAAGGACCCAACUGAUUAGUCUGCCCCAGGGUUUAGAGAGCCAGCCUGUGGUGGCAAAAUGCUGCCCCUGUUAAAGUGCCACCUGGGGCCAUUGCCCCAGUCCAUCCUAUGGAUGGGCUGGCCCUGUCACUGAUAGUAAGUAUUUUUCCUGAUAAAUCAAUGGCAGCAUCACUAAUGGGUAGCUAUUCCCCUUUUGGCUUCCAGGACAGGAUAACAUAUGUACAUAUAUAUUUUUUAUUUUCUCCUUUUUUCUCUUAAAGGACCACUCUAGGCACCCAGACCACUUCAGCUUAAUGAAGUGGUCUGGGUGCCAGGUCCUUCUAGGGUUAACCCAUUUUUUUAUAAACAUAGCAGUUUCAGAGAAACUGCUAUGUUUAUGAAUGGGUUAAGCCUUCCCCCUAAUCCUCUAGUGGCUGUCUCAUUGACAGCCACUAGAGGCGCUUGCGUGCUUCUCACUGUGAUUUUCACAGUGAGAGCACGCAAGCGUCCAUAGGAAAGCAUUGUAAAUGCUUUCCUAUGCGACGGGCUGAAUGCGCGUGCAGCUCUUGCCGCGCGUGCGCGCGCAUUCAGCCCAGGAGGAGGAACGGAGGAGGAGAGCUCCCCGCCCAGCGCUGGAAAAAGGUAAGUUUAACCUCUUUUCCCCCUUCCAGAGCCGGGCGGGAGGGGGACCCUGAGGGUGGUCCUUUAAACCUAAAGAAGAUUACGUAAAUAAACACAAUAGAGUUAGGAAUACAGAUCUAUUUUCCUAUUCCAGUCACUACUCUUAUUCAGGUGUCCACCCCCUUGCCCAUUAAAAAGGGGUCCAUUGUCCAUUAAAAAUAAAUUAAAGAUUUACUUACCUUUUUUCAGUGCUGAGGCUACCUUGGCUCUACUUACAUCUCCGCCUUUUGCAACAUCAAGGAGGAGGCAUUGCCUCCUCUGCCAAUGUCCAAUCCAAUGCUUUCCCAUGAGGCUUGGGCAUCACCAAGGCCGGCGCUACCAUAAGGCGAAUAAGGCCUGCAAGGGACUUCCACUGGGAGGUUUCUGGGUGGGCUGCUCCUGUGGGUGGGCAGCGGGCUGCUCCUGCCUGGGGCCAAAGUGCUGGGUAAAUGGCUGUUUAGCCACCCCCCAGCGCAUCCUAUGCUCCCUCUGCCUCCCUGUUGCUGCAGUGCCGAUCAUCUGCUCAGGGAGAGGGGGUUUGUUGAACCCCCAGCAUCCAAGCAGAGCACGCUGCUUCCUGCAGGCAGGAGAAGCCAGGAUGUGACUUGGUAUUCCAGCUGCCCUCUGCCUGUGAACACAGGAAGCCCUCUGGAGGGAGCAGGAAGCAGCCUGUGCUCACAGUGCACAGCCCUUCUGUUCCCCCAGGAACAAGGACAGAUACCUGCAGGCUGAAAAUUGGUGUGUGUGGUGAAACCAGCCUCGCCACUGGGCAUUGGAGAAGACUGAUUGCCAGCUUCCUGCCAUGUGACUAUGGCCCCUUGGAUGUAUUGCCCUUUAAGAAACUUAUUUGGGCUUAUUGGGUUUUGAAACACUUUUUCUGCCCCUUUGAAUACAUGGGAAGGUGUGCCCCUCCCCCUUUUCCUGUCUAUUGUUCUCCAGCAGGGCGUUGUCCCAGGGACACUGCCAGACCAGUUGGAACUUUGUUUUGCCCCUCCUCUGUCUCUUAUCAGCCCUUGCUCUGGUUUAAGGCGAUUUGACUGUUUGUGGGAUCUGAGCGCUGUUUAGAUAUAUUGAGCGCUCAGAUCCAAGCCAUCUGGGGAUAGGUUGAAUGUGGGGGUUCUGUUCAGUAUGAUAGGAAUUAUGUAUUUUUGCUGUUGUUGUGAAUAGAGAAAUUUUCUGUACCUGGAGAUAGUUGGCUUACCACACCCAGUUAAGCCAAUUAUCUCCAGGAUAGAGGACUCUGUGGAACUGGUUUUGGCUGGAAAGCCAUGCUUCAGUGGUCACAAAGGACUUCGAUCUAACUUUUAAACCAAUGGAAGGAAUUGAUUUUUGAGUAUGUUUGUAUUUGGAGUAUGCUGAUUCUGAAAAUGUAAGUUUUAUGUGAAUGUGAUGUAUUCCUCGCUGAGUAAAAUUGGAGCUGAAUUUCGGCUUCACAAAGCACUGACAGACAGGCAUGCUGACACACACAGACACGUACACUGACACACACAGACACUGACAGACAGACAUGCUGACACAUAAACUAACAGACAUACUGACACACACAGACACUGACAGACAGACAUGCUGACACAUACAUACACAUACACUGACACACACAGACAUUGACAGACAGACUGAAAGACAUACUGACACACACACAGAUACUGACAGACAGACAUGCUAACACACACAAACACAUACACAUACACUGACAAUCAUACUGACACACACACAGACAUUGACAGACACAUACACUGACAGACAGACAUGUUGACACAGACACUGACAGACAGACAUGCACAUACACACAAAAUGUACACUUUUGUACAUGAUUCCUACCUUGCCUGGCUCAGCCCCGCUCCUCUCUGCUUCCUUGCUGUCUCCCACUUGGCUCUCUGUGGGAGAAAGUGACAGCCACAAGUCACUUCCUCCCAUAGAGAACAGAGCCCAGCUGGCUACAGGAAAGCAAGAGGCCCGGUGGCGCUGUUAAAGGGCCAGAGCGCGCGACCUGCCCCUGCUUACAAAUGCCCACCAGGUGACCCUUAGUGAAUGGGCCACCCGGUGGGCCUCCUUUGUGUGCCGUGGGCACUAUUAAGAGCUUUGUGGCUGAUUCAGAGCACAGACGGGUUUGUGCAGAUAAAGGCACAUUGAGGAAGAUUUCUGCCAGAUCCAUGUAUCGGAUCAAGAGAGCAGCUGCUAAAAUACCAUUACAUAGCAGCAAAUAGAUAUUUUAAAAUGCUGCUGGUGCCUCUGGAGUCCCACAGACAUCAAGGUGUAGAGUCCUCCAGAGUCUUGCAACUGUGCAUAAACCUUCUAUUCGGCCACCACUAACCAAUGCUCACAAGCAGAAACAGCUGCAUUGGGCAGAAAAAUACAUGAAGACUAAUUUUCAAACAGUCCUGUUCACUGAUGAGUGCCGUGCAACCCUGGAUGGUCCAGAUGGAUGGAGUAGUGGAUGGUUGGUGGACGGCCACCCUGUUCCAACAAGGCUGCGACGUCAGCAAGGUGGUGGUGGAGUCAUGUUUUUGGCCAGAAUCAUGGGAAGAGAGCUGGUCGGCCCCUUUAGGGUCCCCGAAUGUGUAAAGAUGACCUCUGCAAAGUAUGUAGAGUUUCUGACUGAUCACUUUUUUCCCUGGUACAGAAGGAAGAACCAUGUUUUCUGUAAUAAAAUCAUCUUCAUGCAUGACAAUGCACCAUCUCAUGCUACAAAGAAUACCUCUGCAUCAAUGGCUGCUAUGGGGAUAAAAGGAGAGAAAGUCAUGGUGUGGCCUCCAUCCUCCCCUGACCUCAAUCCUAUUGAGAACCUUUGGAGCAUCCUCAAGCAAAAUAUCUAUGAGGGUGGGAGGCAGUUUACAUCCAAACAGC